CAACAAUGUUUUCUCAGGGAAUACUGAGGAAGAAUAUCUCAAAAUGGAAAAAGAGUUUCCUACAUUUAUAAGCCUUCAUCAAGAUUGAAAGGUGCCCAAACUCCAUCAGGAGACAUAUGCUUGACAGUGAAACAUCUGAACUCUGCACCAUUCUCCCGGCCUCCCACUUUCCAGCAGGCACAGGGCUCCCCAGUACAGCAAUAGCCCCGCGCAGUUCCCGGUUGUGGACAGAAGGAGAUUGAAGGAGACCGCGCGCUGCAACUCGCGCUUCUCGAGUCCUCACUCCCAGAACACCCCACCAAACCCUGCCGUGAAGCGAGGCCAUCCUGCGCGGCGGUGACCCCUGCAGCGCUCGCCGCCCGGGAGGGGGCGCCAUUGUCACGCGGCUGCGAGCGGCGGCGGCGGGCGGUCGCCGGGACCUUCCCCCGUCCUACCAGGG
rnacentral:lncRNA from 1 species